GAUGAAGAACGCAGCGAAAUGCGAUAAGUAAUGUGAAUUGCAGAAUUCAGUGAAUCAUCGAAUCUUUGAACGCACAUUGCGCCCGCCAGUAUUCUGGCGGGCAUGCCUGUCUGAGCGUCAUUUCAACCCUCAUGCCCCUAGGGCGUGGUGUUGGGGAUCGGCCAAAGCCCGCGAGGGACGGCCGGCCCCUAAAUCUAGUGGCGGACCCGUCGUGGCCUCCUCUGCGAAGUAGUGAUAUUCCGCAUCGGAGAGCGAUGAGCCCCUGCCGUUAAACCCCAAACUUUCCAAGGUUGACCUCAGAUCAGGUAGGAAUACCCGCUGAACUUAAGCAUAUCAAUAAGCGGAGA
rnacentral:misc_RNA from 1 species